UUUUGAAGUCUGUUUAAAGACUGAGUCUAUCCAGACGUAAAAAGGAGUCAGGGAACUAUAAUAAGGUGAUAAUGAAUGACUUUCAAGUGCAAAAAUAUAUACAAAGAUAACAUACUGUGAGCUAUCAGAGGAUUGGAGAAACAAGAGCCCUGCCCUUGGAUAAGGUCCUGACCAGGCAGUGGCAGUGAGCCUAGGAGGAAAAAUCUCACCUUGCUUUUCAAGCAUAAAGCUGACAGUUCUACUAGAGGCACACAGGAAGUCACUCUGGCUUCACUGCCGAGAUCCUCUGUACCCAGAAGCAUCUGUUCCCUUUGUGGUUGGGAGGGGACACCAGCCAAGAGAAGAUACUGGGUCAGUCUAGGACUAUAUACUCUGGGGCUAGUCACCAAAUAUUGCAAGAGACAUAUUAAAAACUAUUAGUUAUUCAAAAUACAAAUUUAACUGGGUGCUUUGUAUUUUUUUUGCUCAAUCUCACAACUCUACUUGGUGGCCC
rnacentral:lncRNA from 1 species